CACGUAGGGUGCGAGCGUUGUCCGGAAUUAUUGGGCGUAAAGGGCUCGUAGGCGGCCAACUAAGUCAGACGUGAAAUCCCCAGGCUCAACCUGGGAACUGCGUCUGAUACUGGAUGGCUUGAAUUCGGGAGAGGGAUGCAGAAUUCCAGGUGUAGCGGUGAAAUGCGUAGAUAUCUGGAGGAACACCGGUGGCGAAGGCGGCAUCCUGGACCGGCAUUGACGCUGAGGCGCGAAAGCUAGGGGAGCAAACGGG
rnacentral:rRNA from 1 species